rnacentral:rRNA from 1 species
UGGGGAAUCUUCCGCAAUGGGCGAAAGCCUGACGGAGCAAUGCCGCGUGAGUGAAGAAGGCCUUCGGGUUGUAAAACUCUGUCCUUAUCGAAGAGAGGUGGGUAUGUGAAUAAUGUACUCAUAGGACGGUAGAUAAGGAGGAAGCCCCGCUACUACGUGCCAGCAGCCGCGGUAAUACGUAGGGGCGGAGCGUGUCCGGAAUCACUGGGCGUAAAGGGCGCGUAGGCGGUUUAAUAAGUCAGUGGUGAAAACUGAGGGCUCAACCCUCAGCCUGCCACUGAUACUGUUAGACUUGAGUAUGGAAGAGGAGAAUGGAAUUCCUAGUGUAGCGGUGAAAUGCGUAGAUAUUAGGAGGAACACCAGUGGCGAAGGCGAUUCUCUGGGCCAAGACUGACGCUGAGGCGCGAAAGCGUGGGGAGCAAACAGGAUUAGAUACCC